rnacentral:tRNA from 1 species
CAGAAUAUAGUUUAAUUUUAAAAUUUAGAUUUUGGGUAUCUAAGAUGUGUAAAUACAUUAUUCUGA